UACGGAGGGUGCAAGCGUUAUCCGGAUUCACUGGGUUUAAAGGGUGCGUAGGCGGGCAGGUAAGUCCGUGGUGAAAUCUCUGAGCUUAACUCAGAAACUGCCAUGGAUACUAUUUGUCUUGAAUAUUGUGGAGGUGAGCGGAAUAUGUCAUGUAGCGGUGAAAUGCUUAGAUAUGACAUAGAACACCAAUUGCGAAGGCAGCUCGCUACACAUAUAUUGACUCUGAGGCACGAAAGCGUGGGGAUCAAACAGG
rnacentral:rRNA from 1 species